GGGAGGUUGAAGCCUCUACUCUACAACAGUCUGGAAUGAGCCUUAGAGAUCUUUGAGCCCAUCUAUCUUCAUUACGUGGGUGAUGUGAAUGAGCCUCUGUUUCUUGCAACCCAAAAUGCCUCCAUGGAAGAAUGUGGCAUGUUCUCCAUGAAAGAACCACGUUCCAAAGAAAGUCAGAAAAACUACAUUCAAGCAUGAAGGCGAAGCCCCUGGUCUCAAGCGUGGAGAAGUUGGAUCUGAUGGGAACAGGGUCCAGAAUAGGCAAGAAGGGUCGAAGACAGAACUUCCCAAGUCAUGAGUGGUGAUGGCCCACUUUUUUCCCCUCCAACCCA